UUUUGAGCUACUAUUGUACAAUCCAAGAUGGCGGUUAACAAUGAAUCAACUUUAAAAGCUGCCAUGUGUGGUUGUUGCCUUGUACAUAAUGGUAAGAUUCGAACUCUUUUUGAAAUGGUUGCCUUAGAUUACACUUAUUGCAUGUUCAAAAUAAAUAGUAUAUUCACUUAAAACGCGCAUUUCACGAAACACAAUUCAUUCUCAGAGUAACCCCA
rnacentral:lncRNA from 1 species